CUCCUGGACAGUUGAAGAUCAGUGUGGGUCUACGUCUGGACAGUUCAAGGGUCAGUAGUGUGCGUCUACUUCUCCCCACAGUUAAUAAGGAUCAGGCAGGGAGAUCUCGUCCAUGGUGGACAGGCAGGGAGAGUCUCGUCCAUGGUGGACAGGCAGGGAGAGUCUCGUCCAUGGUGGUCAGGCAGAGAGAGUCAGGCAAGGAGAGUCAGGCAGGGAGAGUCAGGCAGGGAGAGUCUCGUCCAUGGUGGACAGGCAGGGAGUCUCGUCCAUGGUGGACAGGCAGGGAAGAGUCUCGUCCAUGGUGACAUGCAGGAGAGUCCUCGUACAUGGUGACAGGCAGGGAGAGUUCCUCGUACAGGUGUGGACAGGCAGGGAGGUUCUCGUACAUGGUGGACAGGCAGGAGAGUCUCGUACAUGGUGGACAGGCCAGGGAGAGUCCGUACAUGGUGGACAGGCAGGGGAGUCUCGUGACAUGUGGACAGCAAACCCUCAACCUUCUGGCCUGUUGGCCCUGCGUGGCAUCAGCUGUGGUCACAAGAAUGCUGAAGUUGUAAAGACGUAUUGUCCCUGUUAUAAAAAACACAGGCUUGCACAGUUUUU
rnacentral:lncRNA from 1 species